GGACAGCCCACAAUGACUAACCAUCCCCACCGGAUGGUCCCUGCAGCAUAGAUGGUCCAGACCAGCUCACCCUAACUGCCCGCCAAGGCGAGAUCCUCAUCAUCUUUCUGGAUCAGUCAUGUUUCUGAGCUCUGAGACUUUCCACAUAUAUUUCUCUGUUUGUAUUAGUGGCUCUGGACCCAUCAGAUGUCCACGUCCAUGAUGCUUAUAGGUUGACUGGGGAUAAAAU